UGUCUUAAUUUCUCCCCUUCCUUUCUCUGUUUCCUCUUUCUAAUCCCCAUCCUUCCUCUCCCUGAAAUUCAUGCUUACUUUACAGCUCUCAUCUGUAAAGCAGCAGAAAAUACUGGGAUGAAAAUACAUUCUUCAGAGAGCAAAUGCUGACUAUUCAUUCAGUCAAAAUCUUCUGAGAGCCCACCAUCCACCAAGCACUAUCCUGAGCACUGAGGAAAUGCCACCAAGAGUUUUACUUGUCCAAAGGCAAAUAAAGUACCUUAAGGCUGCUUCAUUUAGACUCCACUGGGUCUGGACUACAACUAUGACUUCACGUAGAUGAAAACCGGAGGCCUGCUGAAUCAACUGUCACUUGGACUGCUAAAUAAGAUUCAUUAUCUGAUGAAGUUUACCAGAGAAGAGUUAAGGAAAUGAAGUCCAGAAGGGUGUUUCGGUUAACAAUAAUGUCAAUUUCCUGAGAAAAUUGCUUGACCCCAGACAAGGCAUUUACUUUUUCAAGAGAAUUGUUUUGUCUUGGUCUUUUUAAAUUUUUUUAACAACAGAGUGCUAUUGUUAGGAGGCAUUCUUGAGAUGACUUCCUUUCUGUACACAUAUAUGAACAAGUGAAACCGAUAU